AUCUGUAUUGUUUCCCCCUGAACAAUACUGCAUGUUUCUCUUUAAAUCCUUGCCUAUUUUUAGGCCCAAGAUGGAAUAUCUUUGUUUUAGUUAUUUUUUUCCCACUUACUAUUUGUCAGGGUGAACAAUUUCCUUAGCUAUUUGUAUUUAUUUAUUUUUGAAUUUCCUAUUCCUGUUCUGAUAUAAGUCUACAAAAUUUCAACAGGUGAACAUGGAGGAAAGACAUGCCAGCAGGAAGAAAUGAUAUGAGCAAAGACACAGAGGUGGGACCUUCUAAAGUGUGCUGUGGAACGCUGUUGAUCCUAGAUGGGGGUGGCCAUGUUCAUGUAAAUGUGCACACAAGCUGAGAUACACAAGAAGAUUCACUGAUUUUGAGGUGGCCAGUUCUGAGAUUCAUGUCACCAGUGUCCUUAAAAGUUCUCUCUGAAUCAAGCUUCUUUGCCUGUCACAGUAGACAAUGUGAUCACACAUCUUUGGAUUGCCUUUCUCUCCUUCCUGCUUCUCUCUCCUCACCCCCUGUAGGGGCAAGAAGGCAAGAAGCUUGACAUAGCAUUGAUGAGCCCAAGUCAACUAUAUGAACAAAAUAAUGUCUCAAGAGAGGGCAGAGUAUCAAGUCAGAAAAACCCUGAGUCCUUAGAUGACCUUGUAGAAAAGAGCCACAAACUUACUCUGGGCUACCUUUGUACCUCUGAACUAUUAUGCAGAGAGAAAUAAAUGUAUUCAAACUCUGUUUUUUGGGUUUCUUCAUUCAUGUAGCUUAGCCUAUAACCUAAAUAAUAAAACUCCAGAGGAUGCUAUACACAUUACAAAAGAAAAUCUAGAGUCAGUUUGCCAAAGUUUAUGUAGCCCAUCAGUGUCAGAGCUAGGAUAUGAACCCAAAUCUUGCCUCCAUUUUCAGAGUUUUUAAAUCAAACAGUGUAAUUGACUUAGAAAAGUGCUUCUCAAAGUUUAGCAAGCAUUAGAACCACCUGGAAAGCUUAUUACAGUGCAGAUUCCUGAGCCCCUUCCCUAGAGAUUCUGAUCAAGGAGUU